UACGGAGGGUGCAAGCGUUAAUCGGAAUUACUGGGCGUAAAGGGCGCGUAGGCGGCCCACUAAGUCAGACGUGAAAUCCCCCGGCUUAACCUGGGAACUGCGUCUGAUACUGGAGGGCUUGAGUAUGGGAGAGGGAUGUAGAAUUCCAGGUGUAGCGGUGAAAUGCGUAGAUAUCUGGAGGAAUACCGGUGGCGAAGGCGGCAUCCUGGACCAUUACUGACGCUGAGGCGCGAAAGCUAGGGGAGCAAACGGG
rnacentral:rRNA from 1 species